UCCCAGACUCCUACGGGAGGCAGCAGUGGGGAAUAUUGCACAAUGGGGGAAACCCUGAUGCAGCGACGCCGCGUGAGUGAAGAAGUAUUUCGGUAUGUAAAGCUCUAUCGGCAGGGAAGAAAAUGACGGUACCUGACUAAGAAGCCCCGGCUAACUACGUGCCAGCAGCCGCGGUAAUACGUAGGGGGCAAGCGUUAUCCGGAUUUACUGGGUGUAAAGGGAGCGUAGACGGCGGAACAAGUCAGAAGUGAAAACCCGGGGCUCAACCCUGGGAGUGCUUUUGAAACUGUUUGGCUGGAGUGCAGGAGAGGUAAGCGGAAUUCCUAGUGUAGCGGUGAAAUGCGUAGAUAUUAGGAGGAACACCAGUGGCGAAGGCGGCUUACUGGACUGUAACUGACGUUGAGGCUCGAAAGCGUGGGGAGCAAACAGGAUUAGAUACCCGAGUA
rnacentral:rRNA from 1 species